rnacentral:rRNA from 1 species
GAUGAACGCUGGCGGCGUGCCUAAUACAUGCAAGUCGAGCGAACAGACGAGGAGCUUGCUCCUCUGACGUUAGCGGCGGACGGGUGAGUAACACGUGGAUAACCUACCUAUAAGACUGGGAUAACUUCGGGAAACCGGAGCUAAUACCGGAUAAUAUAUUGAACCGCAUGGUUCAAUAGUGAAAGACGGUUUUGCUGUCACUUAUAGAUGGAUCCGCGCCGCAUUAGCUAGUUGGUAAGGUAACGGCUUACCAAGGCAACGAUGCGUAGCCGACCUGAGAGGGUGAUCGGCCACACUGGAACUGAGACACGGUCCAGACUCCUACGGGAGGCAGCAGUAGGGAAUCUUCCGCAAUGGGCGAAAGCUUGACGGAGCAACGCCGCGUGAGUGAUGAAGGUCUUCGGAUCGUAAAACUCUGUUAUUAGGGAAGAACAAAUGUGUAAGUAACUAUGCACGUCUUGACGGUACCUAAUCAGAAAGCCACGGUUAACUACGUG